rnacentral:lncRNA from 1 species
UUCCUUUCUAUACCUUUAUAAUAUGUUAUGGUUACAUAUCAGUGACAAAGUAAAAGUUGUCAUUUCAUUGUUAAUUUUAGAAGUUCUAGUCCAACCACUGUUCUCUGCACAUAAAAAGUUAAUUUUUAAUAGUGAACAUUUACUCUGGAGAAGACAAACUGCUUCUAAGAAGUUCUUUGCUUUUUAAGAUUGAAGUGGACGUGGUCAGAACCUGGAGCAGAUUGUCUUUGUUUGGAGAGGCCUCAGAUCAGUGGCCUCCGUUGUGUAGGUUCAUGUCAAACAAGGCGUCAACAGUUACUCUGGAAGGUUUAACAAGAAAACCUGGGUUUUUGUUUGUUUUGUUUUGUUUUGUUUUGUUUUUGUUGUUGUUGUUUUUGUUUGCUUUGUUUUAUCAAUUUUAACAAUUUCAAGAAAAAAAUAUUUAACACACUUCAGUCAUGUUCUGCUCAUUGUCUUCCCUUAGUUUCUUGCCCUUCCAUCAAACCCCUUCCUAAUAAGACCUUUCUUAUUUUUGU